CACGUAGGAGGCGAGCGUUGUCCGGAAUCAUUGGGCGUAAAGAGCGCGCAGGCGGCUUGGCAAGUCGGGUGUGAAAUCCCGGGGCUCAACCCCGUGACUGCAUCCGAUACUGUCAGGCUAGAGGUAGGUAGGGGAGAUCGGAAUUCCUGGUGUAGCGGUGAAAUUCGCAGAUAUCAGGAGGAACACCGGUGGCGAAGGCGGUUCUCUGGGCAUUACCUGACGCUGAGGAGCGAAAGUGUGGGGAGCGAACAGG
rnacentral:rRNA from 1 species